AGAGUUUGAUCAUGGCUCAGAAUCAACGCUGGCGGCGUGCCUAACACAUGCAAGUCGAACGCGAAAGUCCCGCAAGGGAUCAGUAGAGUGGCAAACGGGUGAGUAACGCGUGGGUGACCUGCCUUCGAGCGGGGGAUAACGUUCCGAAAGGGACGCUAAUACCGCAUAACAUCCUGCUUUUUAAGAAGUGGAGAUCAAAGCCUGGGACCGCAAGCCAGGCACUCGAAGAGGGGCCCGCGUCCGAUUAGCUAGUUGGUGGGGUAAUGGCUCACCAAGGCUCCGAUCGGUAUCCGGCCUGAGAGGGCGGACGGACACACUGGGACUGAGACACGGCCCAGACUCCUACGGGAGGCAGCAGUGGGGAAUUGUUCGCAAUGGGCGCAAGCCUGACGACGCAACGCCGCGUGGAGGAUGAAGAUCUUCGGGUCGUAAACUCCUUUCGAUCGAGACGAACGGCUUCCGGGUAACAUCCGGGAGAGUGACGGUACCGAGAGAAGAAGCCCCGGCUAACUCCGUGCCAGCAGCCGCGGUAAUACGGGGGGGGCAAGCGUUGUUCGGAAUUACUGGGCGUAAAGGGCUCGUAGGUGGCCAACUAAGUCAGACGUGAAAUCCCUCGGCUUAACCGGGGAACUGCGUCUGAUACUGGAUGGCUUGAGUUUGGGAGAGGGACGCGGAAUUCCAGGUGUAGCGGUGAAAUGCGUAGAUAUCUGGAGGAACACCGGUGGCGAAGGCGGCGUCCUGGACCAACACUGACACUGAUGAGCGAAAGCCAGGGGAGCAAACGGGAUUAGAUACCCUAGUAGUCC
rnacentral:rRNA from 1 species